UACGGAGGAUCCAAGCGUUAUCCGGAUUCAUUGGGUUUAAAGGGUGCGUAGGCGGAAUGAUAAGUCAGUGGUGAAAUCCUGCAGCUUAACUGCAGAACUGCCAUUGAUACUGUCAAUCUUGAGUACAUUUGAUGUGGGCGGAAUGUGUCAUGUAGCGGUGAAAUGCUUAGAUAUGUCACAGAACACCGAUUGCGAAGGCAGCUUACUAAAGUGUGAUUGACACUGAGGCACGAAAGCGUGGGGAUCAAACAGG
rnacentral:rRNA from 1 species